UAAAGGGAUCAGGCUCCUGCCCUGCGCACCCCACCCCCCCUCCCUCGAGAGGCCAGGGGGCUUCUUCCUCAAGGAGCAGGAACCGGCCACCGGGGCUGCCACCGCCUCCCUGGUGGCGGAAGCCAGAGAUCUGGGAUUCCACUGAGGCCCCAAAAGGAUUUGUCAGAUGAGAAAGAUCCAAAUAAAACCAGAGGAAACUCCUCUUUGCAGCGUGAAGCUGGUCAGUCUUCCUUACCAGUCCCAUCCUCCAAGGCCUUGUUAAACCACCGCAGCGAAGCUCUUUUUUCCAAAUCUAGAUCUUCGGCAGUGAUGGAGUAGCCAAGCUGGGGAGGUGGGGGCUGCCAGAGAGAAAGACGAGAGGCCCAUCAGGGAAGCUGGAAGAAACCUGUAUUGAGCUACCCUAGAACUUGGGGAUGCCGAGCUGGGGUGGGCGGGUGUGGACAGACAAAGCCAUACCAGGGUCAGCCGAGCCCCUCGCCGGGAGGGUAGGAGCUGAAUCUUUCGCUUCCGCUGCCCAGAGCUGCCAGGUGUGGGAGGGGAGCUCCACGAGUUCUGCGCCUUCCAUGUGGUUGUAUCUGUAGCUAAAGAAACAACAUGGACUUGUUUUCUUCCUCCUCUUCCAGAAAUGGCCAAGUUUGUCUACACUUGGUUUUUAACACUGAAUUCUCACUGGUUAUGUCUGAAAGAUUUGGUCUUCCGUGGAUGGGGGGUCUUGGAGAGUUUGCAAGACGGUUUCUGCCAGGAGGGUAUCAAGAUAACUGCUCCAAACACAGGCAUACAAGUGCUUACUGACAGUAGUCACCCAGGCUGCUCAGAGGCCCCCACCAGCGCUCAUCGCCGGCCCACAGAUCCACUGGCCGGUGCCGUAGCUGCCUGUGCCACAGACCACAGACCUCUGCACCUACCAGGCCCUGCACACAGCGAGGCUCAGCGCAUGCUUCCGGAUGAGCAGGGGUCUCACAUGCUCCAUAAACACUCCCACCACCAGAAGCCACUCCUGCGCGCUUCACAACCUACCCUUUUCUCCCUGGGCCUCCUUGUCUGUUGCCAAAGGAGUUGAAGAACUGGAGCGGUGAGAAAGCUCGUCCUCUCUGAGGGCAGAAGAGGCAGAAGCGCAUUUAGAAAGACUUCCUGAUACAGAGUAUCAGGGAACCACUUACAGCCUCGUAACUACCAACCCGGCCAAAGUCUAGAACAACUGUGAUUUAAGAUCACAGGCCAGGACAAAAAAUAAGAGAAAUCAAAAGGAAAUUCCUACAAAACGAAGGGAGAAGUUCAUGGAAGCCACGGAGAAACCUCUGUCUCACAACCAGCACGAAACGAGAACCUUCACAACCUUACUUACACCUUGCCCAGUUCCCGAGGGCUGUAGCCACAGAGCUGACCCCGAAGAGCAGCAGUCUAGUCUACUGUCGGUGCCUGGAGAUCAGCUGGGGUACAGAACAUGAACUCUCCUGCCCCUGCCAUGAUUCUCUGUGCCCCCUCUACCCUGUGGCCUUUGCGUUCACACCCCAGUCGCUUGUGCUGCAGGAUGAGGAAGAGAGCCAGAGCCUCCAGGGUCAGCACAGAAGACAUUUAAGAGACGAGAGCAGUUUGGGCAGGUACUUCACUGUCCUUCUGGAUGGCAAUCUUGGGUCCUCCGGAUCGGAGCCGCAGGAUGCCUAAGAGCCAAGUACGUGUGCUUCCUUUCCUGCCCUCUCAUUAGUCUGCAGUGCAAACAAGGACCCGUUACCUUAUUUUCUUUGCUGGCCUCUCUGGUGUCUGCGAGCGGGAUGAGGCUGGGCUGGAGAACGGUGACAAGCUGGGCCCGCUUCUCUUCCAAAGCUAAAAGGCAAAAAGCAGUGACAUGAUUACCCUACUGGACAGCGUGACAUCCGCCUUCAAUACAACUUUGUAUUCUGUUCAUCGCCACACACAGGGUCUCCUCCUCAGUGACAAACAUCUUUUGUGGAGCACCUGGCUGACGUAGUGGAGCAUGAGACUCAAUCUCCGUGUUGUGGGUUCGAGCCCCACUUUGGGUGUAGAGAUUACUUAAAAAUAUGAUCUUUUAAAACAAAAAAGGAGCACCUGGAUGGCUCAGUCGGUUAAGCAUCUGACUCGAUUUUGGUUCAGGUCACGAUCUCACAGUUCGUGGGUUCAAACCCCACACUGGGCUCCUUGCUGGCAGCGUGGAACUUACUUGGGAUUCUCUCUCUCUCCCGUUCCCUUUGCCCCUCCCUGGUGCAUGAGCUUCUUCUCAAAAAUAAAUUUAGAAAAAUAAAAAUAAAGAAAAACAUUUCUCUGUGAAGGAAGGCCCCUGAAGGAAAGUCAGUUGCCAGUAUUAACUACGGAGAAAAAAUCUGAACAAGUAAGGAAAUGCUAACUAAUAAAGUACAAGGAACAAUGUACUUUUGCAUAUAUUAAAAAGUAGAAGGUUACAUUCAGUCAUGGUUUAGAGCCUAUGAUGCAUCCAGCUUUACUUUAUGUUGUCUGCAGAAAUUAUACAAUUAAGAAGCUUUCCCAACCCCCCUCCCCGCCUCAAAAAACCUAUUACGGCAAAGGUAAGCCAGUAAACUAAUAGCCUUGCUUUUAUUAGUUUUGUUUUACUUCAACUUUAUUUUUUUUAGGUAUAUUUUGAGAGAGAGCAAGUGGAGAGGGGCAGAGAGAGGGAGAAAGAAUCCCAAGCAGGCUCUGCGCUGCCAGCACAGAGCCUGAUGUGGGGCUAGAACUCACAAACUAUGAGAUCAUGACGUGAGCCAAAGUCAGAUGCUUAACCGACCGAGCCACCCAGGUGCCCCCUGCUUCAACUUUAUUUUUUUAAGAUGUCCUAUCAUGACAUUUAUGACUUAUGCAUUAUCUAUGGUAUUUGCUGUUACAUGAUUAUUAUCCAGACACCUGUCUGUUCCAACAAACAGGCAAUUGGUUCCUUGGCAGCGAAGGUCUGUUCUCACCUUCCCCUCAUGCAAAGCAGCCUCGAUAACUGACAAAGAGCAAGCACUGUGAAGUUUCGUGAAGUCUUUAGCUUAAUUACAAAAAUACUAAUAACUUAUCACUGCAGACAUUCUUCCAGAAGUUUCUUACUCAGUAACAGUUAUAUAAGCACAAACAAGCAGACAACAAUCUUUAAUAAAAGUCUGAAGAGGUAAAGAAGAAUUUAAACUCAGAGACAGGUGGCGAAAGUGGUGAAACAGGGCAGCUCCAUGAGACCAGUAUCAGGACACCCAAGGCUGAGAACGGGUGUGAGAGGAAUGCUGGUGCACUCAGGGAAAGAAACACAAAACAAAAACUAAACGCUUGGACCUCACACCUUACAUUUUUAAUAAAGUACCAAAGAUGAUUCCAAUGUUUAGCCAGGGUUAAGGAUGACCUGGUUCAACACUUAAGGGGAAAUACUGUAUCCCCACUAUGUCUGUCACAGGUGACACACACACACACACACACACACACACACACACACACUCCAGAUGUGACCAAGGUUUACAUGUAAGAAGUGUCACAAAAGGACUAAAACAGAUCAGCUGUUCCAUACUAUGGGACAGGGAGAAGUCUGUGCCAGAGACAGAAGACAGAAAACUGACAGACUGUCACAUAAAAUCGCUACGUAAAGAACCUCUCUGUGUAAAAGUAUCACCAUGCAGCAGGGAGACUCUAGGUGCCAUCUGUAUUUUCCACCAUGCUCACAUUUCCAUAAAAUCGAAAUAAAAUCUAUGUAGGCUGGAAAUAAACACACCCCGAAACAAACAAAAACUAUAAACAAAAUUAAAAGGCAAAUAUUUUCAGAAAGAGUUAUUAUCCUUAACAUGAAAAAUGCAAGUCCUGCAACUCCACAAAAAUAUAAUGAACGUACCAAAUGAAAAACAGGCAAAAGAUGUAACAAGGACAGUCAUUUAAAAAAAUAGUCAAUCUACACUUCUAACAGCCAAUUUAGUUUUGCGCUAUAACUCAACUUUGAUUUGCAGAGUCCCCUCUUCACAGAGGCUCUAGACCUUUCUACUUUACAAAGAAUGCCAAGAUGAGCAAGACGGUUCCAUCAAGAAAUUUACGGUGUGAAAAAGAGGAAAGAACACAAAUCGACUGUAACAGCCAAAAGAUAAGACAGCCUUUCAUGACUUAACAGAAAGCACCUGAAGAGUGCCUGCAGUGGGAUGGACGUGUUAUUCCAGAGGGAGACCAGAACAAAGCAAGGGAAGGCAGCAGGUAGGAAGUGCUCUUGGUAGAUAAUAAAUGUCACGGUCUGGCUGCAACGUAGAACAUAGUUAAGGGGCACAAGGGCGAGAGGCAGGUUAGGCCUGGAAGCACUGACGGCAAGGGUAAAUACAUACGCCUACUCUGGAAAAUGAGAAAUCUGGUAAGACACAGGGAGAUAUCAACGCCGCACACAAAAGGUCAGAGGACAGUUUACUUUUUCUAUAACUGGUACCAGUGUAACAUCUGUGAUGAUUUUGUAUCAAUGCUAGGACUUCCAGUGUAGACGGUUGUAGAUGUGGAUAUUUACUAGCGUUCCCCUGGAAAAAUGUAGUUAAAUUAAAUACCUCUACUACCACCUGCACCAAAUGUAAGGACUGACACUGAAAUUGAUUACUGGAGAUGAUCACUACCUCAGUACAUUUUUUUCCAAAGAAACAUAAAGAACGUUCAUAUUGGGGCACCUGGGUGGUUCAGUUGGUUAAGCAUCCAACUAUGGCUCAGGUCAUAAUCUCCCAGUUUGCUUCAGAUUCUGUGUCUCCCUCUCUCUCUGCCCCUCCCCAGCUCAUGCUGUCUCUCUCUCUAAAUAUAAAUAAGCAAAUAAAGAACUUCCAUAUUACUUUAUUUAUUUAUUUAGAGAGACAGAGAGAGAUGGAGAGAGACAGAGAGAGACAGUGCAUGCAUGUGAGCAGGGGACAAGCAGAGAGGGGACCAGUAACUACUUAAAACAAAAUACCAAACAGUUAUUAGUGUCAGGGAGUGUAUUUCCUGCAACAGGUCAAAGGCUCCACCAGAAAUGAGGCUGCUUAAAAUCUGACCCACUUCCAGGCAAAGGCUGACCGUGUUGUUCUACACUAACACUCCCGCCAGAGACAAGAAGCAAAUGCUGAAGAUCUGAGCUACGUGUGUUUGAAGGUAUGGCAGUACGGAAGAGCCAGCGGGGCAGUAGACAUCGUGGAGCCAAGGGUUAGCCCCCAUAUUUAAGGCUACUUUUUCUCUCAUGGCGAAUGCCAAUUCCAAAAGCAAAAGCUGUAGUUGAGAGGCACGGAAAAGCUUUUGGCAGUCUCAUAUGGCUGGAAAGACAAAAAUGAAUUCAGGGUCUUCCAAAGUAGGGGGUCCUUAAUAAGACCUAAAGCUUUCUGGUUGGGAUCCCAAAGGCUACAUAUGAGGAGAUAGGGCAAAUCAGAAAUAAAGCAGCCCUCACGAGAACUGACAACCAACUCAAAACCAUGUCAAUUCUACCUGGACAGAAGUAACCUGCCACUAUCCUAACUACUGCCCAAGUAAAGUAAAAAAGUAAAACCUCCCUGGAGGAAGACACCAUCAUUCAGAGCUUUAAGUCACCAUUACUUUUUUUGUUUGUUUGUCUGACACAGAAAUAAAGCAACAACAAAAAUAUAUAAGAAAGUAAUAGUUAUCCAAUACCCCAGAGGAAAAAAUCAGACAUCAACAACAGACCAGAAGACUCAAAUGCUGGAAUUAUUGAAUAAAACCUUAGAAGAAUUGUUACACAAGAAUUUAAAUGACAAUAUGGAGAAUCCUGGCACACCAGUAACAACUAUAAGAAAGAGAAUCAAAACUACUUAAGACGGAUGGCAGUGGAUGACAGAAGGCUAAAGUAAAUCAGUAAACUAGACGAAGGAAGACUAGAGGUGGAGACGAAAUGACGGGAGACACAGACAGACGCGGACAAAAGGAAAAGGUCUACCAUGUGCCCUAGAACACUGAGGGGGGGGAGGAAAUAGGGCAGAACAGUAUCUGAAGAGAUAAUACUAGGUUGAGAGUUUUUCAAAACAUAUCGAGCCACAAGACAAACUCCGAGGAAUAUAAACUGUAAACGAGCACUUCAUAAAAUUUCUUUGCAAGUGAAGUUGGAUCAAGACUAAACAUGUACUCAGGCACAGAGCAAAUCUCAAAACAAGAACGGAUACAGGAGUAUAUCCUGUGAGCUAAUGGAAUUUAGCUAAAAACCAGUAACAAAGAGGACAAGGAAUUAAUGGUUUUGAAAUUAAGCAAUGAAUUUCUAAGUAACCCAUGAAUCGAAGAAUGAAUAUGAAAAAUUCUUCUAUUACAAAGCUGUGGAAAUGCAGCUACGGUUAAGUUUGCAGGAACUGUGUAACCUUAAAUACAUAUAUUAGAAAAGGGAAAACAAUGGAAAAACCCCAGUGAUCUAAGAAUCCGGAUUAAAAAGCCAGAAAGAAAUCCCAACAAAUCAAACAUGAAAAAAGAAAAAAAAAGGAAAAAGAAAAAAAAAGAAGUCAUAUCUAUAAGGGCAGAAAUUAAAGAAAAAGGAAAACAUAAAAUAGAGUGACUUCUAAAAUUCAUUGAUACAUAACCUUGAAAAAGGAACUUCCUUAAUCCAAUAAGGAGUAUCUAUCUACAAAAUACCUGUAUUAAACAGCACAUGUAACAGGAAAUGUGGAAAGCACUCCCUUUGAGAUCAGGAAAGACAAGGAUGUUUGCUAUCACUUCUAUUCAACGUUGUACUUCAGGUCUUAACCAAAUGCACUAAGGCAUAAGCAAACAACAGAAGGACUGCAAAGGGAGAAAAAAAGCUGUCAUUAUCGUAGGCAACGUGAUGCACACACAAAAGUCCUAAAGAAUAUAUAGAUGCUUAUGGGAUUUAGCAAAUUUCCUGAAUACAAUAAUCAGUUGUAUUUCUAUACAUCAGCAACAGAUUUUAAUACACCAUUAUAGUAGCAUCAAAAACAUAUAUCUAGGAAUAAGUUUAAUACGUAGAACAACUACAUGGUGAAGUUAAAGAUGUAAAUGAAGGAUAUACCAUGUUCAUGGACUGGAAGAUUCAACACUGUAAAAAGGUCAUUUCUCUCCAAAAUAACUGGCAGAUUAAAGGCAAUCUUAACAUCUCAGCAAGUGGUCUUUAUUUAGGUGGAAAUCAACAAGCUAAUUCUAAACUUACAGAAAAACGCAAAGGGUCAAGAUCGAAGACAAUUCUGAAGAGGAAUGAAAGAAAUGAGAAAGUUGGAUGACUUAUUCUACUACACACCAAAACUAAAAGACUGUGUGGCACAGCGUAGAAAAGAAGACCAACAGAACAGAAUCUAGAUAUGGAUCCACAUAUAUCUAUGGACACUUAAAUCAUAACAAAGGCAGUGCCACAGCGCAAGAGGGAAAGGGUGAUCCAUCCUUUCAAUAAAUGUUGCUAAGUCGAAUGGA